AGAGUUUGAUCCUGGCUCAGGAUGAACGCUGGCGGCGUGCUUAACACAUGCAAGUCGAACGAAGCACUCUAUUUGAUUUUCUUCGGAAAUGAAGAUUUUGUGACUGAGUGGCGGACGGGUGAGUAACGCGUGGGUAACCUGCCUCAUACAGGGGGAUAACAGUUGGAAACGACUGCUAAUACCGCAUAAGCGCACAGGAUCGCAUGAUCCGGUGUGAAAAACUCCGGUGGUAUGGGAUGGACCCGCGUCUGAUUAGCCAGUUGGCAGGGUAACGGCCUACCAAAGCGACGAUCAGUAGCCGACCUGAGAGGGUGACCGGCCACAUUGGGACUGAGACACGGCCCAAACUCCUACGGGAGGCAGCAGUGGGGAAUAUUGCACAAUGGGGGAAACCCUGAUGCAGCGACGCCGCGUGAGCGAAGAAGUAUUUCGGUAUGUAAAGCUCUAUCAGCAGGGAAGAAGAAUGACGGUACCUGACUAAGAAGCACCGGCUAAAUACGUGCAGCAGCCGCGGUAAUACGUAUGGUGCAAGCGUUAUCCGGAUUUACUGGGUGUAAAGGGAGCGCAGGCGGCGCGGCAAGUCUGAUGUGAAAGCCCGGGGCUCAACCCCGGUACUGCAUUGGAAACUGUCGUACUAGAGUGUCGGAGGGGUAAGUGGAAUUCCUAGUGUAGCGGUGAAAUGCGUAGAUAUUAGGAGGAACACCAGUGGCGAAGGCGGCCUACUGGGCUUUAACUGACGCUGAGGCUCGAAAGCGUGGGUAGCAAACAGGAUUAGAUACCCUGGUAGUCCACGCCGUAAACGAUGAUUACUAGGUGUGGGGGGAUCAACCCUUCCGUGCCGCAGCAAACGCAAUAAGUAAUCCACCUGGGGAGUACGACCGCAAGGUUGAAACUCAAAGGAAUUGACGGGGACCCGCACAAGCAGUGGAGUAUGUGGUUUAAUUCGAAGCAACGCGAAGAACCUUACCAGGUCUUGACAUCCGAUGCAUAGCUUAGAGAUAAGUGAAGUCCUUCGGGACAUCGAGACAGGUGGUGCAUGGUUGUCGUCAGCUCGUGUCGUGAGAUGUUGGGUUAAGUCCCGCGACGAGCGCAACCCUUAUUGCCAGUUACUACGCAAGAGGACUCUGGCGAGACUGCCGUUGACAAAACGGAGGAAGGUGGGGAUGACGUCAAAUCAUCAUGCCCUUUAUGACCUGGGCUACACACGUACUACAAUGGCGUUUAACAAAAAGAAGCAAGACCGCGAGGUGGAGCAAAACUCAAAAACAACGUCUCAGUUCAGAUUGCAGGCUGCAACUCGCCUGCAUGAAGUCGGAAUUGCUAGUAAUCGCGGAUCAGCAUGCCGCGGUGAAUACGUUCCCGGGUCUUGUACACACCGCCCGUCA
rnacentral:rRNA from 1 species